rnacentral:tRNA from 3 species
UGCGGGAUCGUCUAAUGGUAGGACACCGCCCUUUGAAGGCGGUCAUCUUGGUUCGAAUCCAGGUCCCGCAGCCU